rnacentral:lncRNA from 1 species
GAGUGGCCGGUUUUGGGGAGGGAUAAGGUUGGUGUGUGUGUUGAUUUGUGAGUUUUGUCAAAAACAUGCAAGUGUAUGUAAGAUAAGUUUAUGAAAUAAUUCAAUCACAAUUAUUUCAAUCAUCAUUUAUACAAAUAUCUAACACUUUAAAUACAUAAUAAAUCAUUUAAAAACAUAUCACAUAAACUUUAUGAAAUAAAUCAAAACUUUGAAUCAAAACACCAAACCUUUUUGUUCUUGGCAAGAACAUCAAGAACAAUGAAGAACAUCCAUGAAAAACCCAAAUUUUUCCAUGAACUUUUUUUC